GAGCAUUUUGUCGAUCAUUUUUGUGUUUUUUCGUUGUCAAUGUCACUUCUCAUACACUCUUCCUUCAUCGUUUCUAUUUCAAGUUUCCAUAUUUUCCUCUGUAUCACAAGCAUCAAUGGAGUCCGUCAAUUUUGCUUCUCGGAUUUUUCGCUGCCGGCGUGGAACCUGUUGGGCUCAGAGACACCCCUUACCACAAACCUGACGAUUUAAGGCAUAUUUUAGACACACUGGAGCCACACUCCAGGCCCAAAUCCCGCCAACGUGACGUUCCUUUAUGCUUCCGACAACGUAAGUGUUUCCCACAUUCAAACUUUUUUUGUUUUUCUUUUCUUUUGUUAAUCAUAAUAUAUCUAAACCAGAUAACAAGAUGUUGGACAUGAGUUUUAUAAAUUAGCCUUUCAUUUUUUUGAAAUGUUGUAUUUUGCGAAGACACGUUUAAAAACCGGAUAACAAGGGAAAUAUACAUGAAUUUAAAAAAAUAGCCGUCUAACUCAUAUUUUCAUGUAUUUUAUGUUAUAGGUACGUGUUACUCCUAUUAUUCCUUAAAACAUAGACUUUGAUGAACUACGUGAUUCAUUCAGUCAGAUGCAAGAUGUCAUGAAGAAGCACAUUUCAUAUAAUUCGUCUCAGUUGCUCGCCUUCCAGCUCAUUACAAGAAGAUUAUCGAUUCAGUUGAUGUAUCAUUAUAACCGGAUAACUAUAUCAAAAAAUGUAUGUGGCCGGAUAACGAUAAUCGAGAAACCAUAUGUAGCCGAAUAACUAUAAUCAAAAAAGUAAAUAAUUUUCUAUUUGAUAUAUGAUUAUAGCCGGAUAAUUGUAUGUUUAUAGAUAUAUCUGACCAUUAACUUAAAUAACC
rnacentral:lncRNA from 1 species